UAUAAUAUAGUGUAAAUUGCACAUAGACCUUUGAAGUCUAAAGAAGACCCCCUCUUAUUAUAA
rnacentral:tRNA from 1 species